CAGGGAGACAACAAAAUGUAAAUAUUAAUUUUGUCACCUUAGGUCGAUCGGUAUCUCAGAUUCUUAAUUAUUUAAGAAUUUCAGUUUCUAAGUUUUUUCUAGGUCACACCCAUCACUUUUUCCUGGGCCAUUAGCUCAGGUGGUUAGAGCGCACCCCUGAUAAGGGUGAGGUCCCUGGUUCAAGUCCAGGAUGGCCCAUAUCUCUAUGUUGGGGGUAUAGCUCAGUUGGUAGAGCGCCUGCUUUGCAAGCAGGAUGUCAGCGGUUCGAGUCCGCUUACCUCCACUGAAUACCACCUCUUACAUAUAGUUGAAGUGGGAAAUUGUUUUGAGUCGUGUCCUAAUUUGCUCUGAGCGAAUCUAGCUUCCUAUUUUAUCCAAGAAAUAAGAUGCUGGACUCAUUGAAUUUUUUUUCAUUGUUUUCAGAGAACCUUGACAACUGCAUAGAUUAUUUUUAAAGACAAUAAGCAUCUUUAAUGAUGCAGAUUUAUUAUUUGUGCGAAUGCAUUAAAUAACAAUUCUAUUAAGCUGAUGCUUCAAUUAUUGAAGUUAUU
rnacentral:tRNA from 1 species